rnacentral:lncRNA from 1 species
AUUUUCCUCCCGAUCAAAAUCUUAGUCUGACGAAUUUUUCUCCUAAGAUAGAGACUUAGUUUGAUGAAUCUUCUCCUAGGAUCAAAAUCUUAGUCUGACGAUUUUUUCUCCUAAGAUAGAGACCUAGUCUGACGAACCUUCUCCUAGGAUCAGAAUCUUAGUCUGAUGAAUCUUUCUCCUAAGAUACCAAAAAACACAGACCUAGUCUGAUGAACCUUCUCCUAGGAUCAAAAUCUUAGUCUGAUGAAUUUUUCUCCUAAGAUAGAGACCUAGUCUGACGAACCUUCUCCUAGGAUCAAAAUCUUAGUCUGAUGAAUCUUUCUCCUAAGAUAACCCAAAACAAAAAAUCUUAGUCUGACGAAUCUUUCUCCUAAGAUACCAAAAAAAAAAACAAGACCUAGUCUGACGAACCUUCUCCUAGGAUCAAAAUCUUAGUCCGACGAAUUUUUCUCCUAAGAUAGAGACCUAGUCUGAUGAACCUUCUCGUAGGAUCAAAAUCUUAGUCUGAUGAAUCUUUCUCCUAAGAUGCCAAAAAUCCUAAGUUCACAUCCCCAGCGAGUUCCCUUGUAAAAAUCCUC